rnacentral:rRNA from 1 species
AUUGAACGCUGGCGGAAUGCUUUACACAUGCAAGUCGAACGGCAGCACGGACUUCGGUCUGGUGGCGAGUGGCGAACGGGUGAGUAAUGUAUCGGAACGUGCCCAGUCGUGGGGGAUAACGUAGUGAAAAUUACGCUAAUACCGCAUACGAUCUAUGGAUGAAAGCGGGGGAUCGCAAGACCUCGCGCGAUUGGAGCGGCCGAUAUCAGAUUAGGUAGUUGGUGGGGUAAAGGCCCACCAAGCCAACGAUCUGUAGCUGGUCUGAGAGGACGACCGGCCACACUGGAACUGAGACACGGUCCAGACUCCUACGGGAGGCAGCAGUGGGGAAUUUUGGACAAUGGGCGAAAGCCUGAUCCAGCCAUUCCGCGUGCAGGAUGAAGGCCCUCGGGUUGUAAACUGCUUUCGUACAGAACGAAAAGGUUUCUACUAAUACUAGGAGCUCAUGACGGUACUGUAAGAAUAAGCACCGGCUAACUACGUGCCAGCAGCCGCGGUAA